ensembl:lncRNA
GUCAUAGAGUGUUCUGCCUAUGUUUUCCUCUAAGAGUUUGAUAGUUUCUGGCCUUACCUUUAGGUCUUUAAUCCAUUUUGAGCUUAUUUUUGUGUAUGGUGUUAGGGAGUGAUCUAAUCUCAUACUUUUACAUGUACCUGUCCAGUUUUCCCAGCACCAUUUAUUGAAGAGGCUGUCCUUUCUCCACUGUACAUUCCUGCUACCUUUAUCAAAGAUAAGGUGUCCAUAUGUGCGUGGGUUUAUCUCUGGGCUUUAUAUCCUGUUCCAUUGAUCUAUCUUUCUGUUUUUGUGCCAGUACCAUACUGUCUUGAUUACUGUAGCUUUGUAGUAUAGUCUGAAGUCAGGGAGCCUGAUUCCUCCAGCUCCUUUUUUCGUUCUCAAGAUUGCUUUGGCUAUUCGGGGUCUUUUGUGUUUCCAUACAAAUUGCGAAAUUUUUUGUUCUAGUUCUGUGAAAAAUGCCAGUGGUAGUUUGAUAGGGAUUGCAUUGAAUCUGUAGAUUGCUUUGGGUAGUAGAGUCAUUUUCACAAUGUUGAUUCUUCCCAUCCAAGAACAUGGUAUAUCUCUCCAUCUAUUUGUAUCAUCUUUAAUUUCUUUCAUCAGUGUCUUAUAAUUUUCUGCAUACAGGUCUUUCGUCUCCUUAGGUAGGUUUAUUCCUAGAUAUUUUAUUCUUUUUGUUGCAAUGGUAAAUGGGAGUGUUUUCUUGAUUUCACUUUCAGAUUUUUCAUCAUUAGUAUAUAGGAAUGCCAGAGAUUUCUGUGCAUUAAUUUUGUAUCCUGCUAAUUUACCAAAUGCAUUGAUUAGCUCUAGUAGUUUUCUGGUAGCAUCUUUAGGAUUCUCUAUGUAUAGUAUCAUGUCAUCUGCAAACAGUGACAGCUUUACUUCUUCUUUUCCAAUUUGGAUUCCUUUUAUUUCCUUUUCUUCUCUGAUUGCUGUGGCUAAAACUUCCAAAACUAUGUUGAAUAAGAGUGGUGAGAGUGGCAACCUUGUCUUGUUCCUGAUCUUAGUGGAAAUGCUUUCAGUUUUUCACCAUUGAGGAUGAUGUUUGCUGUGGGCUUGUCAUAUAUGGCCUUUAUUAUGUUGAGGAAAGUUCCCUCUAUGCCUACUUUCUGCAGGGUUUUAAUCAUAAAUGGGUGUUGGAUUUUGUCGAAAGCUUUCUCUGCAUCUAUUGAGAUGAUCAUAUGGUUUUUCUCCUUCAAUUUGUUAAUAUGGUUUAUCACAUUGAUAGAUUUGCGUACAUUGAAGAAUCCUUGCAUUCCUGGAAUAAACCCCACUUGAUCAUGGUGUAUGAUCCUUUUAAUGUGCUGUUGGAUUCUGUUUGCUAGUAUUUUGUUGAGGAUUUUUGCAUCUAUGUUCAUCAGUGAUAUUGGCCUGUAGUUUUCUUUCUUUGUGACAUCCUUGUCUGGUUUUGGUAUCAAGGUGAUGGUGGCCUCGUAGAAGGAAUUUGGGAGUGUUCCUCCCUCUGCUAUAUUUUGGAAGAGUUCGAGAAGGAUAGGUGUUAGCUCUUCUCUAAACGUUUGAUAGAAUUUACCUGUGAAGCCAUCUGGUCCUGGGCUUUUGUUUGUUGGAAGAUUUUAAAUCACAGUUUCAAUUUCAGUGCUUGUGAUUGGUCUGUUCAUAUUUUCUAUUUCUUCCUGAUUCAGUCUUGGCAGGUUGUGCAUUUCUAAGAAUUUGUCCAUUUCUUCCAGAUUGUCCAUUUUAUUGGCAUAGAGUUGCUUGUAGUAAUCUCUCAUGAUUUUUUUUAUUUCUGCAAUGUCAGUUGUUACUUCUCCUUUUUCAUUUCUAAUUCUUUUGAUUUGAGUCUUCUCCCUUUUUUUCUUGAUGAGUCUGGCUAGUGGUUUAUCUAUUUUGUUUAUCUUCUCAAAGAACCAGCUUUUAGUUUUAUUGAUCUUUGCUAUCGUUUCCUUCGUUUCUUUUUCAUUUAUUUCUGAUCUGAUUUUUAUGAUUUCUUUCCUUCUGCUAGCUUUGGGGUUUUUUUGUUCUUCUUUCUCUAAUUGCUUGAGGUGCAAGGUUAGGUUGUUUAUUCGAGAUGUUUCCUGCUUCUUAAGGUGGGCUUGUAUUUCUAUAAACUUCCCCCUUAGAACUGCUUUUGCUGCGUCCCAUAGGUUUUGGGUCGUUGUGUCUCCAUUGUCAUUUGUUUCUAGGUAUUUUUUUAUUUCCUCUUUGAUUUCUUCAGUGAUCACUUCAUUAUUAAGUAGUGUAUUGUUUAGCCUCCAUGUGUUUGUAUUUUUUACAGAUCUUUUCCUGUAAUUGAUAUCUAGUCUCAUGGCUUGUGGUCAGAAAAGAUACUUGAUACAAUUUCAAUUUUCUUAAAUUUACCAGGGCUUGAUUUGUGACCCAAGAUAUGAUCUAUCCUGGAGAAUGUUCCAUGAGCACUUGAGGAAAAUGUGUAUUCUGUUGUUUUUGAAUGGAGUGUCCUAUAAAUAUCAAUUAAGUCCAUCUUGUUUAAUGUAUCAUUUAAAGCUUGUGUUUCCUUAUUUAUUUUCAUUUUGGAUGAUCUGUCCAUGGGUGAAAGUGGGGUGUUAAAGUCCCCUACUAUGAAUGUGUUACUGUCGAUCUCCCCUUUUAUGGCUGUUAGUAUUUGCCUUAUGUAUUGAGGUGCUCCUAUGUUGGGUGCAUAAAUAUUUACAAUUGUUAUAUCUUCUUCUUGGAUCGAUCCCUUGAUCAUUAUGUAGUGUCCUUCUUUGUCUCUUUUAAUAGUCCUUAUUUUAAAGUCUAUUUUGUCUGAUAUGAGAAUUGCUACUCCAGCUUUCUUUUGGUUUCCAUUUGCAUGGAAUAUCUUUUUCCAUCCCCUUACUUUCAGUCUGUAUGUGUCUCUGGGUUUGAAGUGGGUCUCUUGUAGACAGCAUAUAUAAGGGUCUUGUUUUUGUAUCCAUUCAGCCAGUCUGUGUCUUUUGGUGGGAGCAUUUAGUCCAUUUACAUUUAAGGUAAUUAUUGAUAUGUAUGUUCCUAUUCCCAUUUUCUAUAUUGUUUUGGGUUCGUUAUUAUAGGUCUUUUCCUUCUCUUGUGUUUCUUGUCUAGAGAAGUUCCUUUAGCAUUUGUUGUAAAGCUGGUUUGGUGGUGCUGAACUCUCUCAGCUUUUGCUUGUCUGUAAAGGUUUUAAUUUCUCCAUCAAAUGUGAAUGAGAUCCUUGCUGGGUAGAGUAGUCUUGGUUGCAGGUUUUUCUCUUUCAUCACUUUCAGUAUGUCCUGCCACUCCCUUCUGGCUUGUAGGGUUUCUGCUGAGAUAUCAGCUGUUAACCUUAUGGGGAUUCCCUUGUGUGUUAUUUGUUGUUUUUCCCUUGUUGCUUUUAAUAUGCUUUCUUUUUUUAAUUUUUGACAGUUUGAUUAAUAUGUGUCUUGGCGUAUUUCUCCUUGUAUUUAUCCUGUAUGGGACUCUCUGUGCUUCCUGGACUUGAUUAACUAUUUCCUUGCCCAUAUUAGGGAAGUUUUCAACUAUAAUCUCUUCAAAUAUUUUCUCAGUCCCUUUCUUUUUCUCUUCUUCUUCUGGAACCCCUAUAAUUCGAAUGUUGGUGCAUUUAAUGUUUUCCCAGAGGUCUCUGAGACUGUCCUCAGUUCUUUUCACUCUUUUUUCUUUAUUCUGCUCUGCAGUAGUUAUUUCCACUAUUUUAUCUUCCAGGUCACUUAUCCGUUCUUCUGCCUCAGUUAUUCUGCUAUUGAUCCCAUCUAGGGUACUUUUAAUUUCAUUUAUUGCAUUGUUCAUCGUUGCUUGUUUCAUCUUUAUUUCUUCUAGGUCCUUGUUAAAUGUUUCUUGCGUUUUGUCCAUUCUACUUCCAAGAUUUUGGAUCAUCCUUACUAUCAUUAUUCUGAAUUCUUUUUCAGGUAGACUGCCUAUUUCCUCUUCAUUUGUUAGGUCUGGUGCAUUUUUAUCUUGCUCCUUCAUCUGCUGUGUGUUUUUCUGUCUUCUCAUUUUGCUUAUCUUACUGUGUUUGGGGUCUCCUUUUUGCAGGGUGCAUGGUCGUAGUUCCCGUUGUUUUUGAUGUCUGUCUCCAGUGGCUAAGGUUGUUUCAGUGGGUUGUGUAGGCUUCCUGGUGGAGGGGACUAGUGCCUGUGUUGUGGUGGAUGAGGCUGGAUCUUGUCUCUCUAGUGGGCAGGUUCACGUCUGGUGGUGUGUUUUGGGGUGUCUGUGGCCUUAUUAUGAUUUUAAGCAGCCUCUGUGCUAAUGGGUGGGUUUGUGUUCUUGUCUUGCUAGUUGUUCGGCAUAGGUUGUCCAGCACUGUGGCUUGCUGGUCGUUGAGUGAAGCUGGGUGCUGGUGUUAAGAUGGAGGUCUCUGGGAGAUUUCCGCCGUUUAAUAUUAUGUGGAGCUGGGAGGUCUCUUGUUGACCAGUGUCCCGAAGUUGGCUCUCCUACCUCAGAGGCAGAGCCCUGACUCCUGGCUGGAGCACCAAGAGCCUUUCAUCCACACGGCUCAGAAUAAAAGGGAGAAAAAGUAGAGAGAAUUAGUAGAAGUAUGAGGAAAGAAAGAAGGAAAGGAGGAAAGGAAGGAAGGAAGAAAGAAGCAAAGAAGGAAAGAAAGGGAGGGAGGGAGGGAGGAAGGAAGGAAGGAAGGAGGGAAAGAAGGAAAAAAGACAGAACGAAAGAAGAUACAGUAAAAAUAAAAUAAAGUAUAAUAUAGUUAUUGAAUUAAAAAAUAUUUAGAAAAAAAAAGGGACGGAUAGAACCCUAGGACAAAUGUUGGAAGCAAAGCUAUACAGAGAAAAUCUUACACAGAAGCAUACACAUACACCUUCACAAAAAUAGGUAAAGGGGGAAAAAAUCAUAAAUCUUGCUCUCAGAGACCAGCUCCUCAAUUUGGGCUGAUUCGUUGUCUAAAGGAGGGAAGGAAGGAAGGAAAGAAAGAAAGAAAGAACGAAGGUCAAGUAUAAUAAAGUUACUACAAUUAAAAUUAAUUAUUAAGAAAAAAAAUUUUAAAAAAAAAACCAUGGACGGAUAGAGCCCUAGGACAAAUGGUGGAAGCAAGAGUAUACAGACAAGAUCUCACACAGAAGCAUACACGUACACAUUCAC